GAUCAUGGCUCAGAUUGAACGCUGGCGGAAUGCUUUACACAUGCAAGUCGAACGGUAGAGGGGGCAACCCCUUGAGAGUGGCGAACGGGUGAGUAAUAUAUCGGAACGUGCCCAGUCGUGGGGAUAACGUAGCGAAAGUUACGCUAAUACCGCAUACGAUCUAAGGAUGAAANCGGGGGAUCGCAAGACCUCGCGCGAUUGGAGCGGCCGAUAUCAGAUUAGGUAGUUGGUGAGGUAAAGGCUCACCAAGCCAACGAUCUGUAGCUGGUCCUGAGAGGACGACCAGCCACACUGGAACUGAGACACGGUCCAGACUCCUACGGGAGGCAGCAGUGGGGAAUUUUGGACAAUGGACGCAAGUCUGAUCCAGCCAUUCCGCGUGCAGGAUGAAGGCCCUCGGGUUGUAAACUGCUUUUGUACGGAACGAAAAGGUUUGUCUUAAUACGAUGAGCUCAUGACGGUACCGUAAGAAUAAGCACCGGCUAACUACGUG
rnacentral:rRNA from 1 species